rnacentral:rRNA from 1 species
CCUACGGGGGGCUGCAGUGAGGAAUAUUGGUCAAUGGACGAGAGUCUGAACCAGCCAAGUAGCGUGAAGGAUGACUGCCCUAUGGGUUGUAAACUUCUUUUAUAUGGGAAUAAAAUGUUCCACGUGUGGGAUUUUGUAUGUCCCAUAUGAAUAAUGAUCGGCUAACUCCGUGCCAGCAGCCGCGGUAAUACGGAGGAUCCGAGCGUUAUCCGGAUUUAUUGGGUUUAAAGGGAGCGUAGGUGGAUUGUUAAGUCAGUUGUGAAAGUUUGCGGCUCAACCGUAAAAUUGCAGUUGAAACUGGCAGUCUUGAGUACAGUAGAGGUGGGCGGAAUUCGUGGUGUAGCGGUGAAAUGCUUAGAUAUCACGAAGAACUCCGAUUGCGAAGGCAGUUCACUGGACUGCAACUGACACUGAGGCUCGAAAGUGUGGGUAUCAAACAGGAUUAGAUACCCCUGUAGUC